rnacentral:sRNA from 1 species
UGCCUAAACCCUGCCUUCUCGGCAGGGCAUGGCACUAAUACCCAACGAAGACACUGAACCUCGCGUUCAGCAGCUCUUCGUUGGGCUAUAUCCCGAAAGGGGUAUAGGGCCGUAAGGCCU